UGCGUAGGCGGAUUAAUAAGUCAGUGGUGAAAACCUGCAGCUUAACUGUAGAACUGCCAUUGAUACUGUUAGUCUUGAGUACGGUCAAGGUAGGCGGAAUGUGUAAUGUAGCGGUGAAAUGCUUAGAUAUUACACAGAACACCGAUUGCGAAGGCAGCUUACUGGACCAUUACUAACGCUGAGGCACGAAAGCGUGGGGAGCGAACAGGAUUAGAUACCCUGGUAGUCC
rnacentral:rRNA from 1 species